UCCAAUCGUCUUUAGGACCGAGCCCGCCGAUUCCCCGUUCCUCUCCUCCCUCCUUGAACCCAGGACCGAUUCCCCAUUCCUCUCCUCCCUCCCCGAACCCGAGCCCAUCUUCACCAGCGUGGUGCAGUGGCCUGCGGCGAACGCGACACGACGGCCUACCUACGGGCACAGAGCACCGGGCGGACGGAGCACCGGGUGGACGGAUCCGCAUGCGCGCGCUGCUCCGGCUCCUAGGAGCGAGCCCGAGAGAGAAGCGUCGCCGGCACCACAUCUCACCUGCCUCCUUCCCAACGACGGUGCUGCUCCUCCGGUUCCUCAUCGAGGCUCCGGCAUUUGUCGGCCCCGCUGCUCCGCGGCCUUCUCUCUAGCACCGGCCGGCGGAUCUAGCCUCGAUAGGCUGGCAGGAGCUAGCGGCCACGACGCUCGUGGCCCGUGUACUCCCAACAACAGCGCCGCUGCUCUAGCUCCCCAUCGACGCUCCGGGAUUUGUCCGCCCUGCCGUUCCGCGGCCUUCGGCGCACCCCUGCUACCCCGACUGUCCCUGCCCUAUUCUCGUUCUCUAUGGCAUGAGCAUCGGCCGUCAGAUCUAGCCUCGGGAGGCCUGGCAAGACCUAGUACCCACGACACAUCGUGUCCCCGUGCUCCACAGCCCCCUGCUCUGCCAGUUUGAGUGACUGUCUGGUAGCGACACCACCCCUGCUCUCAUCGUACAUCCUGCCUCUAGCCAACCCCUUAGCAUGUCACGUGCGAGCAACCCCUUCAAUGCAGGACAUGGAUGGCCCAGGUACGGGUCUGUGCUGCUCACCCGCUGCCCCGAGUGCAAACGUCCAGAGCCACUAGUGAGGCUCAUAUCGAAAAGGUUCAUGAAAAAUGCAAAUUUUUCAUGUGGAUGGAUGAUUACAUUAAGAUGGUCGAAGGGACAGGGUUUACUCGCGGCCUGGGGGAGAUGAUGGCAUCUAAUUUUGGGGACGAACGAGUGGCAGCAAUUAGGGCAGAUGUUACUGCGAAUUGGGACAUGUUUACUACAGA